CUUAAAUGCUCACCUCUAUUUAUUUCACAGCAAAUGUCUCCCGUCUGAUUGAUGUGUCCAUUCCUCUCUCCCAUGAUGAGAAAAGAACAAGCCUCAAAGGCUGCCACACAGCUCCCGAGAGAGGAGAAUGCAAAGCACUAGGUUCUCUGAACCAGUGUCCGAAUGCUGAGGCUCGUGAAAUAUCCACUGAACAGACAGCUCAGUAGUUUUCAGAAGACAAAUGGGAAUUUUCCACGCAGACAAUACAAAGCUGGAACAAAACUGAUUUAUCAGCCUCCAAGUGUCCUCAGGUUUUUGGAGAUCAGACAUGUGAAUGUGCCUAUCCACCUCUACCUGCCUCGCUGCCCCUGCAAGAAGAUGUCCAGGGGAGGACAGCCUUCUGAAAUUAAUGCUGUGAUAACUCCAGUUAAGUAUGCCAGCACUGGACCAUCUGGUCCCUUUGAUGGAUAUGGAUGGCCUGCAUUUCACUGA
rnacentral:lncRNA from 1 species